rnacentral:lncRNA from 1 species
GGACAGAAUGUGAUUCCCAGAUGAUGCUGAUCAUAAAUCCAACCCACCCACCAGACAUUAAUGUCUGCAGUGGACCUGAAACCUACAAAGUGCUCAUUCCAGAGUCUUACAUUUUGAGAUAGAGCAGGUGCCCCUGCUGGGAAUUCGGACAACUUUGAGCAGAUAGAUGCACAGUUUUCUUUGAUACAUCCAGGUGUGGGUUAUGGUAACCCUGCUCAACUAGGAAGGUUCACCAUUGGAAGAACUAGGGGGCGGCUUGUCUAGAGCAAGGUUUUUAUUUUUUUAGACAGUCUCAUUCUGUCACCCAGGCUAGAGUGCAGUAGUGCCAUCUCAAUUAACAGCAACCUUUGCCCCCCAGGUUCGUGCCUCAGCCUCCCCAGUAGUUGGGAUUACGGUGUGUGCCACCAUGCCCGGCUAAUAUUUUUGUAUUUUUAGUAGAGAUGGGGUUUCGCCAUGUUGGCCAGGUUGGUCUCAAACUCCUGACCUCAUGUGAUCUGCUCCCCUCGGCCUCCCAAGGUGCUGGGAUUACAGGUAUAAGCUACUGCCCCCAGCCUCCUCUUACUUUUGUGUCAUCCACAAGAGUUCCUAGGAAGCCGUAACUAAGGAGAGGAGCUUGUACGUGCACAAUGAAUAGGGUAUCAAUUGCCCAACAAUAAGAAAGCUAUUCUCAGAGCCACUUGUCUGUUCACUUCACGUGUAUUGAGCAUCUACAAUGAGUAAAGCUCUGCUCUAGACUCUGUAGGGAGCAUUUCAAAUAGACACGAUGAGCUCCAAAGGCAUCUGAAAGAUGAGUUUAAGUUUCCCCUCUGGUUUAGAGGAGUUUUGGUGUCAUGCGUUGUGUCUGGCAAUGUACUGUUUCUCUCUUUCCCAUCUUCUGGGUGGCAGUCUCUUCUCUGUCUUCAGCUUUUAGGAUAAAUAACACUUCCUUGAGAGGCCUGCCCUGAGAACCUUAUUUAAAGAAGUCACCUCCUUCCUCCCUUCCCCCUCGAUCACAUCAGCUUGCUUAUUUACUUCAUAGCACGGAUCACAAUUUGCAAUUAGAUAUUUGUUUCCUUGCGUGUGUAUUUUCUGUCUCAUACACUUGUUUAUUAUCUCCACAAGUUCAGAUCCUCUCUUCAUUUUUCAUCGUGGCUGGCGUCAUGUAAGUUUCUUGAAGGCUGGGAUCAUGGCUUAGAUUUUGGAUUUCUCAGAGGGCAUAGCAUAACUACUGGAAAAUACAAAUAGCUGAUUGAUGGUUGUUUGCUUUAUUAAUAAAGUCAAAGAUCACAGAUGUUGCUCAAUGCCACACAGUUAAAUUUUCAUUAAAAAACAAAAAUCAACAGAUUGUACCUCUAGUUGUCUGUAGUUCACCACCACAUCACUCUGUAAACACUUCUGACCAGUCCUGGGAAAACAGCACUCACCAUGAGCAAAAGGAGAUGAUGGAUCUUUUUUCCACUAUCUUGCUCCACACCAAAAGUUAGUACUUUCAUGGUACUGUGAACUUUAGAAGAAAAAACAAUGCUAUAAAUCUAGAGUACCAGCUAUUUGCAGCACCGUGUUCAUUUCUGAUCCUUAUCAAUGAGCAUGCCGACUGAUUUAUAUUUGUAGCCCAAGCAUACUUUUUUUUGCAUUCUUUUCUCUUAACAUCUUUUGCAUGCACUUUGAUCCAUCCACAGAAUCUGUAAACUUAAUUCCUUUUAAUAGCAACAUAACAUUCCAUUGUCUUAAAGUACCAUCGUUUGCAUAACCUUUUCCCAAUUUUGGGCAUUGGGUCAUGUCCCAUGUUUCCACUGUUAUGAACGGUGUUACCAUAAACAGCUUUGUGCCGUUUGCUUUCUUUUCUCUUCUGCAUGUUUCCUUGGGGUAUAUUCCAAAAGCAAGAUGAUUGGGUCAAAGGAUAGGAACAAUUUUAUAGCUCUUUUCAUAUAUUGCCAGACUGAUUUCGAGGGGAUGGAUACUUUUUGAGAGCACCAAAUAAGACAAUGCAGGCCUGCAGAAGUUGUAGUUUAACUGGAAAAGCUGGGCCUGUGUGUGGCAUCAGAUCCCUUCUAAGUGACCCUUUCUGAGUCUUCUACUGUUAGCUCCAGUUAUCUCAAUGGGUGGAGAAAACCAGCACCCUCAGUAAACCUCUCUAAAAAUACCCAGAAAUGCAACUUGCUUCCUUUUCAUGAGAGGAUUUUUAUCUCUGAGAUGGAGUUGCAUGGCCUGACCUGGGUCCUAAGCCCAGAUUUGCCACCUCCUUGCUGUGUGCCCUUAGGCAAGUUACCUAACCUCUCUGAGCCUGAUUCCUUCCUUAUCUGUAAAUGAGGUUCGCUAGCACUGCACUGUUAUUGUUACUUAUGAGCCACCUAGUGUGUGGGGAUUGACCACGUGUUUCUUCCUUCUCCUUUGUACAACCAGCAUCCAGCUCUGUGCCGCCCCAUGCUUAGGGGUAAUAAAUGUCUGUUGUGGACUGGACAGAUUGUCUUUUUCCAUGAUCUUGCUUCAGUGUUUAGGAAUUAGAAAAACAGAAAAGUUUCUGGGCCAGGAGCAGUGGCUCACACCUGUAAUCCCAGCACUUUCGGAUGCCAAGGCAGGAGGAUCGCUUGAGCCCAGGAAUUUGAGACCAGCAUGGGCAACAUAGCGAAACCAUAUCUCUACCAAAAAAUUUUUUUUUAAAUUAGCUGGGCAUAUUGGGGCUCACCUGUAGUCUCAGCUACCCAAGAGGCUUAGGCAGGAGGAUCACUUGAGCCCAGCUGGUCGAGGCAGCAGUGAGCUAUGAUGAAAAGAAAAAGAAAAAGAAAAGAAAAGGAGAGGAGAGGAGAGGAAAGAAGAGAAGAGAGAAGAGGAGUUUCUGAACUUGCACAUGCACUUGAGUGUUGGUAGGAUGUGCCAGGUCCAAGCCUAAUCUGUUGCUGCAGGAAGAGCAGCUCCAGUUUUCAAGACCUCCAAAGGGGCUGGGCGCGGUGGCUCACGCCUGUAAUCCCAGCACUUUGGGAGGCCGAGGCGGGCGGAUCAUGAGGUCAGGAGAUCGAGACCAUCCUAGCUAACACGGUGAAACCCCGUCUCUACUAAAAAUAGAAAACAUUAGCCGGGCGCAGUGGCGGGCGCCUGUAGUUCCAGCUACUCGGGAGGCUGAGGCAGGAGAAUGGCGUGAACCUGGGAGGUGGAGCUUGCAGUGAGCCGAGAUCACACCACUGCACUCCAGCCUGGGCGACACAGGAAGACUCCAUCUCAAAAAAAAAAAAAAAAGACCUCCAAAGCUAUAAAAGGUUUGUAGAAGAGAGGGACUAGAAGCUUAGGGGGACAGAUCAGAGAAAGUGGUUCCUUACAGAGAAAGCUGUUCCCAGAAGGCCCUGGGUCUCCAGGUCUCCAGGGAUGUUUGCAACAUCCUCUAAGAGGGCUUGGGAGGAUGUGUUUAAGACCUGCCUGGCAUCUCUCUGGUCUCCUUCCUGCUGCGGAAGAAGGAUCUGGAGAAGUGAAACGAUGUAUGUGCAGGUGGUCCACAACUGCUAAGUAAAAUUCCUUCUGCUCUGCAAUGUUCCAGGCUAAUGACGGCCACAGUUUCAUACUACUUCUCUCAUUGAGAAAUGGCACCUAAUGCUCCUGCUGUUGGAGCUGGGCUGUUCUUAGUGACUUCCUAGACCAGUCAAAUGCUACAGAAGUGACAUUCUAGAACCUCUGAGGAGAGGACAUAAAGAAGCUUUGCAGCUUCUACCCAGGUCUCUUACAACACCUUUUCCGGGAGCCCUAGGCCACCAGUCUAGGCCACCUAGACUACCCUGAGACUGCCAUGGCACAGAGGCCCUGGGAACGUGCUCUGGUCGGUGGUUCCAACUAGUCCCACUGAGGCUCUAGAGAUGUGAGCGGAGCCAUGCUGGAUACUGCAGAGGAGGCAGUCGGCUUGUUGAACACCACUGCCUGACCCCAGCUGAUACCAUGCACAGCAGAAAAAUGGUCUGAUUGAACUCUGGAAUUCCUGACUCACAAAGUCAUGAGCUACAAUGCUGUUGAUUUAACCCACUAGGUUCUGGGCCAUCGAUUACGCAGCAAAAGAUAACUAAACGCCAGGGCUACCUAGGCUGUGCAGAGCCUCUGCUGGGCUGCAUUUCCGUCACUCAGCUCUGCUUAGCGGAACCAACACUGGGAAUUGUGAUUUCUCUUCUUAUUGUUUGAAGUAAAUAUCAGAGGCCAUGCAGAAGUCAUUGACGUCAGUUAUUCUAUUGGACAGGAUUCCCCAAAUGUAUUUUUGGACUAGAGUCUAUUAUUUAUGAUCCCUUGUUGAAUUUUACAGUCAGAUAGGGCAGGAAGAGCUGGCAGAGUUCCAGAAUCCUAGCUAAAUGGAUUUUUCUGUCGUAUUUAAAGAGGAAAUGGCGAUGCAAAAAUCCCUAGAGCUUUUCCUGUUAAAGCGAGCUCUCCAGUUACGUGUGGGGUGACUCUGUUCUAUGGGAGUUCUGUCCUGAGAGCUCAAAUCCUAAAAUUUGAGGAUCUGUUUAUAGGCAGUCAGUACACCUUCUUUUUUUUUGAGAUGGAGUCUCAUCCUGUCGCCCAGGCUGGAGUGCAAUGGCGUGAUCUUGGCUCACUGCAAUCUCCGCCUUCCAGGUUCAAGUGAUUCUCCUGCCUCAGACUCCCAAAUAGCUGGGAUUACAGGUGCCUGCCACCAUGCCCAGCUAAUUUUUGUAUAUUUUUGUAGAGACAGGUUUCACCAUGUUGGCCAGGCUGGUCUCAAAAUCCUGGCCUCAAAUGAUCCACCCACCUCUGCCUCCCAAAGUCCUGGGAUUACAGGUGUGAGCCACUGCAUGCAGCCUAGUACACCUUCUUGACAAAUUUCAUUACUCUUCAGGUAAGCAAGGAGAUUGUAUUUAAGUUUAUUUGAAUUUUAGUUAACUAUUCCAGAAGGUUAAAAAUGUGCCUUCCCUCGCUAAUGUUUCCAGGUAUCACCUGGUGACUAUUAUCAGGACCUCGACAUACAAGAGAAUCCAAAAUGGUGAAAUAACUGACUUACCAGUUUUCAGCUUUCUGUGUUAUGACAUGUCAAUUAUUAACUAGGAAACUAAUCAUUAAAGGCAUUAACAAAAUUGGUCUCGUUGGGUCACAUUGCUCCUUACACAAUGGGGCUGGUUAACAUUUGGACUUUCGUCGCUUCCCUAGCGACCUUGUCUCUCUCUUCUGUGUAUUUUUAAGGGAGUCCACUCUUUUAUUCCCAUUUACUUUCAUGGAUGUGCUAGUGACUGCUAGAGACAUCAAAACUUGCCCGGGUACAGUGGCUCAUGCCUGUAAUUCUAGCACUUUGGGAGGCUGAGGUGGUAGAGUUGUUUGAAGCCAAGAGUUUGAGACCAGCCUGGGUAACAAAGCAAGACCCUGUCUCUACAAAAAAUAAAAAAAAUUAUCUGGGUGUGGUGGCACGUGCCUGUAGUCCUAGCUUCUCAGAAGGCUGAAGCAGGAGCAUCAUUGAGCCCAGUGCUGCUGUAAGCCGUGAUCAUACCACUAUACUCCAUCCUGGGCAACACGAGGCUCUGUCUCAAAAAAUAAAAAACAGGCCAGGCAUGGUGGCUCACACCUGUAAUCCCAGCACUUUGGAAGGUCGAGGCAGGCAGAUUACCUGAGGUCGGGAGUUCGAGAUCAGCCUGGCCAACAUAAUAAAACCCCAUCUCUACUAAAAAUAUAAAAAUUAGCUGGAUGUGGUGGCAUGUGCCUGUAGUCCCAGCUACUUGGGAGGCUGAGACAGGAGGAUCACUUGAACCUGGGAGCCGGAAGUUGCAGUGAGCCGAGAUCGUGCCACUGCACUCAAGCCUGGGUGACAGAGCAAGACUCUGUCUCAAAAUAAAUAAAUAAAUAAAAAUAAAUAAAAAUAAAAAACAAACAAACAAAACCUAAAGCUUCAUCUUCACCUCAACUCUUCCAAGAAGAUUUUCAAACCUUAGUGCUUCUAUAUUGAUUCAUUUCUUCCUCUUCAUUCAUUUAUUUUUUUCCCCACCCAUGCAUUUAUUUACUCAUUCCAUAAGCAUUGGUUUGAUGUUUAAGAUGUGCCAGAUACAGUGCUAGGCAUCUUGGGUACAAGAUGAACACAAGGCUCCGCUUUACAGGGGCUCAUUCUUCUCAGUAGCUCCUCAAUAAACAGAAAGCGACCCCUCCCUGAGAGGCCGUGCUAGGAAUCCGUGUUGGAGAAACAGAAGCUCUGAGUGAAAAAUGAACACAAGUCUGGAUGGUAACAACACAGGAAGGAACCGAGGGCUAUCUGCCUCUGCAUCCUGGCCACAUCGCUCUGCUCCUUUUUCUCCCGCCUUGCUCUCACUGGUCCCUCCACUGCACUUAGUCACAUAUUGAUUCAAAGUUCGAUGCUUCCAAUGUUUGUGCUGAAAAAGUCCUUCUCUGAAUUCUACUACACCAGUGUCUCCUUGCUUCAAGGCCGUGCUUUUCGGAGGAUCCUACUGCAGUCACAGAGCAUUCUCUACUAACCAAUUAUGGAAAAGCAGCAACUGAAACUGGUAACAAGAAGAGGUUUAAUUGGAUUUACAGUUUCACAUGGCUGGGGAGGUCUCAGAAUCAUGGUGGGAGGCAAAAGGCACUUUUUCAAACUGUGGUUCAGCAGCUCAGGACACAUGAAGUUAUACACACUGCAGCCUGUAGUCCCAGCUACUCGGAGGCUGAGGUGGGAGGAUCACUUGAUCCCAGGAGGCGGAGGUUGCGGUGAGCUGAGAUUACACCACUGCACUCCAGCCUGUAGUCCCAGCUACUUGGGAAGCUGAGGCAGGAGAAUCGCUUGAACCUGGGAGGCAGAGGUUGCAGUGAGCGGAGAUUGCACCAUUGCACUCCAGCCUGGGUGACAGAGAGAGACUCUCAAAAAAAAAAAAAAAAAGAAUGGAGGCUGUAGUGUAGCAAAUGCUUCUCCUGUGAAGCCCCCAGAACAUGCCAGGCUCUGAAGUGGGCUGGUGUUUGUGGCUUUUCUCCCUCUGCUCUUCUUCGAGUCUGUUUCUAUGUAUCCUGUCCCUAGAGAGAAGCCAAGGGCACAUGUCACCAGAAAAUAGCUGCAAGGCCAGAGUCUUACACAAGGAUUUGGAUACGGAACAGGCUUGGACAGACAAGGAGGGGACUGUUGCAGACAUGGGGCAGCGAGCAAGGACGCCCAGAGCCACAGGGAGGAUAGGAACAAAGGACUGAGUCUCACAACAAGCCAGGCUAAGUCAAGCAGAACUGGAGGAGUCAGGAGGGGAAAACAGUCGGGCCCCUCCAGCUAAGAGUGAGAUGUGGAGUGUGAGAGGAAGAGGCCGGAUGCAGUGGCUCACACCUGUAAUCCCAGCACUUUGGGAGGCCGAGGCGGGCAGAUCACCUGAGGUCUGGAGAUAGAGACCAUCCUGGCCAACAUGGUGAAACACCGUCUCUACUAAAAAUACAAAAAUUAGCUGGGUGUGGCGGUGCGCGCCUGUAGUCCCAGCUACUCAGGAGGCUGAGGCAUAAGAAUCUCUUGAACCUGGGAGGCGGCAGAGGUUGCAGUGAGCCUAGAUUGGGCCACUACACUCCAGCCUGGGCAAGAGAGGGAGAGUCUGUCUCAAAAAAUAAAAUAAAAUAAAAUAAAAUAAAAUAAAAUAAAAUAAAAUAAAAUAAAAUAAAGGGAAAUUUGGAC